CUCACCAACACCUGCACCUCUCUCAUCUGCACACCUGGGUGCUGGCAUUCCCUGCACCAUCAGGCAGAGUGGGAAAAGCUGUGUGAAUUACUGAGUCCACUAGCAGUUCUCCUUUGCUGCACGGCUGUGAGCUUGCAAUGAGAGAACCCCAAACAGGCUCCAAAAGUCACACGAGAGGGAAGAUGAACCAGAUGGCUUCUCUGCAAAAUCAAGAUUGGAUUUUAGGGCUUCAUAUGAUUUACAAGACAUUGUUUCCUGCUGGCAGCAGAUUGCAUGCUUGCAAGGAGGACAUUUGGAAAAAGGCAGAAGUGGAGUGACACCAACUGGCAUAGCUACCCAGCUCUGUAUGAGGACAACAAAUGGGUGCUUAAACAGAAGUGUGCUUUCACACAGUGCAGUUAGAGAUGUUCUUCCUUAUGAUAUCAAGCAAAGAAGUGUCCAUAGUUGUCUCCUGGAGACAUUUUUCUACCCUGCUUCUACAGAGAUUCUAUCAAACAAAAGAUAUCUCCCAAUUGUUUCGUAUUCCUUUGGACUCAACUCACUGUACAGGAGAUGGAUGAAGACUCAGAAGGCUUGAAUGCACUGCCAUAAAUCAGCAAUGAGAACCAGUUGUUUUAUGCUAACAUAGAAGCAGACUACUCACCAGGUGGUUGUCCAAUAGGAGAACUUUGGCUCCUGAUGGGGAAUGUUCUCAGUCUUGUGCUCAUGCUGAACUAAAUCCCAAGAGAUGUGGGCAUGUAACAAGUACAAGGAUGGAGCAGAACUGCUGAAUACAGAUGCUGUACACUUAAUGAGUCUGUAAGCAAAAUAAGCCAUUUUGGCCUCCUGAUAAACAUACACUAUUGGGUUGAACAAGCAGUAGGCACUCACCAAAAGCCACCUCUUUCAUGCUGACAGUGCUGAAAGUCAUUUCCUGGUGCUUUUUGAGCAGAAAGGCUGCUAUGCUAGUAGAUACCUUCUCCAUAACAUCUUUAUUCCUAUGGAAAAGGUAGAUUUGGAAACAGAAAACAUUUUAGCUGUUACUCGAGUUUUGACCAAAGGCUCUGCACCAGCCAUUAAAAACUUCACAGGAAAACACUGUAAGCAUAGUUGUUGGCUUUUUGAGCAAGAUUAAAAGUUUAAAACUCAUGGCACGGAGCGAGUAAAAACAAACAAAAGAGCAGUCCUGCUGUCAAGUGUCCAGUCUAUGCAGGAGACCAGCGAGAGCCCACGGCCAAUGCGUUGUAUUGCUGGCAGAUCUCUUGUGCUGGCUCUGUAAAUUCUUGUCCAAAGCCCAGAACAAUCAAGGCGCUCCUAUUGAGUUCCUUGACCUUGGGAUUAGGCAGGAUGUAAAACAGGAGGACACGGGCAGCAGUAACAUGUUUUGGAAAAGUUAUGCAAAUGAUGUUAAAGUACACAGUUUAAAAUAUUAGCUCUGGCAGAGGAAGACUGCUGAAGUUUCAGUCAACGGGAACAAAUACUCAAUAAAUUAAAAACUCCAGAUCUGGCUUUGAAACAAUUGCUUUGUAAGCGAAUGCUCCCUUUUGUGGUCUGCAUGAAAUGUGCUCGUGGAAGUGAUCUGCAGGCAGAUGCUGCCAUCAUCAAAUCCACCUGAAGAAAUAGAUCCAACUUGCACUUCUGUUGCCAUCCAGGAGCUUGACAGAGGGCCGACAACUCUCACUAUUCUUUUCUGCAUAACAGGGAUCUUCCUAGAGCAGAGCUGUGACCCAUUGGUGGCUGCAGGAGAAAACCUGUAUCACUGCUGCCAGGUUAGAGCCCCUUGCUGUCAGCCCAGCACCCACCGUGAGCAGGGGUUGGCUCACAUUGUACAAUAAAAGCCCAGUCCACUGUGGGAUAUGUAUAUUUUUUAAACUAAUGCUAUAAGCAUGCAUAUCUUUGAUGCUUUCAAAGCAAAGUCUACAUCACAUAACACUGUAUCCUGUGAUGAUUUUGAUUAUCUGGUAAAUCUGCUGUGCUUUUAUCCACCAUGGAUUCCUCUCCCUGAAAGGAGAAAAGAGGUCAGAAAAAGCAAGGAGCUGGCAAAAAAAAGCUCAGUUAU